rnacentral:rRNA from 1 species
GAUGAACGUGGCGGCGUGCUUAACACAUGCAAGUCGAGCGAUGAAGUCUUUCGGGAAACGGAUUAGCGGCGGACGGGUGAGUAACACGUGGGUAACUGCCUCAUAGAGUGGAAUAGCCUUCCGAAAGGAAGAUUAAUACCGCAUAACGUUGAAAGAUGGCAUCAUCAUUCAACCAAAGGAGCAAUCCGUAUGAGAUGGACCCGCGGCGCAUUAGCUAGUUGGUGGGGUAACGGCCUACCAAGGCGACGAUGCGUAGCCGACCUGAGAGGGUGAUCGGCCACAUUGGGACUGAGACACGGCCCAGACUCCUACGGGAGGCAGCAGUGGGGAAUAUUGCACAAUGGGGGAAACCCUGAUGCAGCAACGCCGCGUGAGUGAUGAAGGUUUUGGGAUCGUAAAGCUCUGUCUUUGGGGAAGAUAAUGACGGUACCCAAGGAGGAAGCCACGGCUAACUACGUGCCAGCAGCCGCGGUAAUACGUAGGUGGCGAGCGUUAUCCGGAUUUACUGGGCGUAAAGGGAGCGUAGGCGGAUGAUUAAGUGGGAUGUGAAAUACCCGGGCUCAACUUGGGUGUUGCAUUCCAAACUGGUUAUCUAGAGUGCAGGAGAGGAGAGUGGAAUUCCUAGUGUAGCGGUGAAAUGCGUAGAGAUUAGGAAGAACACCAGUGGCGAAGGCGACUCUCUGGACUGUAACUGACGCUGAGGCACGAAAGCGUGGGGAGCAAACAGG